ncrna:unclassified sequences c-di-GMP-II-GAG riboswitch
CAUCUGGGGGGAGGCCCUGACACGCGGUCCUCAUCACUGGUCGCCUUGGACCGCGCCGAGCCACUGGCGAGACCGACCUGCCUCGAUG